GACGAACGCUGGCGGCGUGCCUAAUACAUGCAAGUAGAACGCAGUUGCGAACGGGUUAGUAACGCGUAGGGAACUGCCUCAUAGCGGGGGAUAACUAUUGGAAACGAUAGCGAAUACCGCAUACUUUGAGAUGGACCUGCGUUGUAUUAGCUAGUUGGUGAGGUAAAGGCUAACAAAGGCGACGAUACAUAGCCGACCUGAGAGGGGGAUCGGGCAACCUGGGAAUGAUGCACGGCCCAGAACCCUACGGGAGGGAGAAGGAGGGAAUCCGUGGCAAUGGACGGAAGUCUGAACGAGCAACGAUGGGGGAGUGAAGAAGGUUGUCGGAUCGUAAAGAUCUGGUGUUAGAUAAUCGGUAACUAAGCAGAAAGGGACGGCUAACUACGUGCCAGCAGCCGCGGUAAUAC
rnacentral:rRNA from 1 species